rnacentral:rRNA from 1 species
CCUACGGGAGGCUGCAGUGAGGAAUAUUGGUCAAUGGACGAGAGUCUGAACCAGCCAAGUAGCGUGAAGGAUGACUGCCCUAUGGGUUGUCAACUUCUUUUAUAUGGGAAUAAACUGUUCCACGUGUGGGAUUUUGUAUGUACCCUAUGAAUAAGGAUCGUCUAACUCCGUGCCAGCAGCCGCGGUAAUACGGAGGAUCCGAGCGUUAUCCGGAUUUAUUGGGUUUAAAGGGAGCGUAGGUGGAUCGUUAAGUCAGUUGUGAAAGUUUGCGGCUCAACCGUAAAAUUGCAGUUGAAACUGGCAGUCUGGAGUACAGUAGAGGUGGGCGGAAUUCGUGGUGUAGCGGUGAAAUGCUUAGAUAUCACGAAGAACUCCGAUUGCGAAGGCAGCUCACUGGACUGCAACUGACACUGAGGCUCGAAAGUGUGGGUAUCAAACAGGAUUAGAUACCCUUGUAGUC